rnacentral:piRNA from 1 species
UCUCUUUUUUGUUUGCUGAUGCCUGUGUGU